GGGAUUUGAAGGAAGAACACUAGAUCUGGAAGAGGGCGGUCGGAAGCUAGCUGUGGCCGAAAAUGGGAGAAAACUCGCCCAUUUCGGCUAAGUGCCCCUUUUAUAGUGGCUGGCCAGACCACGUUCGGGGGCCGAAAGUGCCUCCGCACGCAUGCCAUGUUCGGCGGCCGAACUUGACUUUCGGCGGCCGAACCUGAACUUCCCUCACUCAUGCUUUCGGGGGCCUAACGUGCCUCCAAGACGCAUGCAUGUUCGGCGGCCGAACUUGGCUUUCGGCGGCCGAACCUUGGUUUUCCUCCAAAGACUUUUCAUGCAAAAACUCAAUUAAUUUUCAUACUUAAAACCAUGAAAUGCUUUAAAACAUUUUAUGAAAACAUGUUUCUACCCUACUAGAGGCUUCCGACAUCCGAGAUUCCACCGGACGGUAGGAAUUCUGAUACCAGAGUCUAGCCGGGUAUUACAUUCUUCCCCCCUUAAGAACAUUCGUCCCCGAAUGUUCACCAAACAACACAUAACAUGGCAAACAUAUAACAUACAUAUUAAACACAUAAAAUACUUCACACUGACCUUAAAAGAGAUGAGGAUAUUGCUGGAGCAUGGACUCCCGUGUCUCCCAAGUGCACUCUUCCAAGUUGUGGUGGUUCCACAGGACUUUCACCAUCGG
rnacentral:lncRNA from 1 species